rnacentral:rRNA from 1 species
GAGUUUGAUUCUGGCUCAGGAUGAACGCUGGCGGCGUGCUUAACACAUGCAAGUCGAACGAAGCGCGGGAAGCGGAAGUUUUCGGACGGAAGCAUCCCGUGACUGAGUGGCGGACGGGUGAGUAACGUGUGGGUAACCUGCCUCAUAUAGGGGGAUAACAGUGGGAAACCGCUGCUAAUACCGCAUAAGCCCCCGGUAUCGCAUGAUACAGAGGGAAAAGAUUUAUCGAUAUGAGAUGGACCCGCAUCUGAUUAGAUAGUUGGUGAGGUAACGGCUCACCAAGUCAACGAUCAGUAGCCGACUUGAGAGAGUGAUCGGCCACAUUGGGACUGAGACACGGCCCAAACUCCUACGGGAGGCAGCAGUGGGGAAUAUUGCACAAUGGGGGGAACCCUGAUGCAGCGACGCCGCGUGAGUGAAGAAGUACUUCGGUAUGUAAAGCUCUAUCAGCAGGGAAGAAAAUGACGUACCUGACUAAGAGCCCCG